GACGAACGCUGGCGGCGUGCUUAAUACAUGCAAGUCGAACGGAAAGGCCCUGCUCUUGUGGGGUGCUUGAGUGGCGAACGCGUGAGUAACACGUGAGUAACCCGCACCUGACUUUGGGAUAUCUUCAGGAAACUGCGGCUAUUAUCGGAUAGGAGAUUCUGAACCAUGGUGGGGGUUGGAAAGAUACGGCUGUUGGGGCUGGACUCGCGGCUUAUCAGCUUGUUGGUGGGGUAGUGGAUUACGAAGGGUUUGACGGAUAGCCGGCCUGAGAGGGUGACCGGCCACAAUGGGACUGAGAUACGGCCCAGACGCCUACGGGAGGCAGCAGUGGGGAGUAUUGCGGAGUGGGCGGAAGCCUGAUGUAGCAACGCCGCGUGCGUGAUAACGGCCUUCUGGGUGUAAACCGCUUUCUCCUGUGACGAAGCGUGAGUGACGGUAAUGAGUAAAGAAGCACCGGCUAACUACGUG
rnacentral:rRNA from 1 species